AUCGCUUCUCGGCCUUUUGGCUAAGAUCAAGUGUAGUAUCACUGUGAGACAUUACAAGGGUAUAAACUAUGUAUGGUUUUUAGAGUUGGAGCCCUU
ensembl:snRNA U2 U2 spliceosomal RNA